rnacentral:rRNA from 1 species
CGCGUAGGUGGUUGUGAUAGUCAGAUGUGAAAUCCUUUGGCUUAACUGAAGAACUGCAUCUGAAGCUUCACAACUCGAGUACAGGAGAGGGAAACGGAAUUCCCGGUGUAGAGGUGAAAUUCGUAGAUAUCGGGAGGAACACCAGUGGCGAAGGCGGUUUCCUGGCCUGAUACUGACACUGAGGCGCGAAAGCGUGGGGAGCAAACA